rnacentral:rRNA from 1 species
AGAAUCAACGCUGGCGGCGUGCCUAACACAUGCAAGUCGAACGCGAAAGUCCCGCAAGGGGCAAGUAGAGUGGCAAACGGGUGAGUAACACGUGGGUGACCUGCCUUCGAGUGGGGGAUAACGUCCCGAAAGGGACGCUAAUACCGCAUGACAUCCUGCCUUUGGAAAGGCGGAGAUCAAAGCCGGGGAUCGCAGGACCUGGCGCUUGAAGAGGGGCCCGCGCCUGAUUAGCUAGUUGGUGGGGUAACGGCCUACCAAGGCGACGAUCAGUAUCCGGCCUGAGAGGGCGGACGGACACACUGGGACUGAGACACGGCCCAGACUCCUACGGAGGCAGCAGUGGGGAAUUG